rnacentral:rRNA from 1 species
UACGAAGGGGGCUAGCGUUGCUCGGAAUCACUGGGCGUAAAGGGUGCGUAGGCGGGUCUUUUAAGUCAGGGGUGAAAUCCUGGAGCUCAACUCCAGAACUGCCUUUGAUACUGAGGAUCUUGAGUUCGGGAGAGGUGAGUGGAACUGCGAGUGUAGAGGUGAAAUUCGUAGAUAUUCGCAAGAACACCAGUGGCGAAGGCGGCUCACUGGCCCGAUACUGACGCUGAGGCACGAAAGCGUGGGGAGCAAAACGG